rnacentral:rRNA from 1 species
GAAUGGUUGGACGAGAUAUAAGCUGUUUCAUUUAAAAUUUAUAUAGAAUUUUAUUUUUUAGUUAAAAAGCUAAAAUAUGAUCAAAAGACGAGAAGACCCUAUAAAUCUUAAUUAUUUAAUAAUUUUUAAUUUAUUUUGGUUUUUUUUGUUAUAAAUUUAUUAAAUAAUUUUAUUGGGGUGAUAUUAAAAUUUAAAUAACUUUUAAUAAUUUUUGUCAUUUAUUUAUGAUUAAGUGAUCCAUUAUUAGUGAUUAAAAAAUUAAGUUACUUUAGGGAUAACAGCGUAAUUUUUUUGGAGAGUUCUUAUCGAUAAAAAAGUUUGCGACCUCGAUGUUGGAUUAAGAUUCAUAUUUAAAUGUAGAAGUUUAAAUAUUAAGUCUGUUCGACUUUUUAUUCUUACAUGAUCUGAGUUCAAACCGGUGUAAGCCAGGUUGGUUUCUAUCUUUGAUUUAAUAAAAUAUUUUAGUACGAAAGGAAUUAAUAUUUAUUUUUAAGAAAUUAUUUUAUGAAUGAAUUUAAUUACUAU